rnacentral:rRNA from 1 species
UGAGGAAUAUUGGACAAUGGGCGCAAGCCUGAUCCAGCCAUGCCGCGUGCAGGAUGACGGUCCUAUGGAUUGUAAACUGCUUUUGUACAGGAAGAAACACUCCCUCGUGAGGGAGCUUGACGGUACUGUAAGAAUAAGGAUCGGCUAACUCCGUGCCAGCAGCCGCGGUAAUACGGAGGAUCCAAGCGUUAUCCGGAAUCAUUGGGUUUAAAGGGUCCGUAGGCGGUUUAAUAAGUCAGUGGUGAAAGCCCAUCGCUCAACGGUGGAACGGCCAUUGAUACUGUUAAACUUGAAUUAUUAGGAAGUAACUAGAAUAUGUAGUGUAGCGGUGAAAUGCUUAGAGAUUACAUGGAAUACCAAUUGCGAAGGCAGGUUACUACUAAUGGAUUGACGCUGAUGGACGAAAGCGUGGGUAGCGAACAGGAUUAGAUACCCUGGUAGUCCACGCCGUAAACGAUGGAUACUAGCUGUUGGGAGCAAUCUCAGUGGCUAAGCGAAAGUGAUAAGUUCCCCCUGG